AUUUAUUAAUGUGCCACCAGGCCUUACACCAAGAGAGCCAUUCCAGAGAAAAGUCCUUUUUCUCCUGAGAACAGUGCCAGCAGCUGGCUUCGUGACAUUCUGGAAGCCCCGUGCAAUGCUGUCAGGAGCAUAGGGAUUUUACUUUAUCUCCCUUGCUUAUGCUCCACAUAACUGAAAUAUCUCACUGGAAGCUGCAGCAGUGCUGGCCCCUUGCACAGCCAUAUGUGACCACUGCAGAACAAUCAGUUGGAGAGACAGUUUGGACUACAUGGAGGGUGGAGAUAAGGACAAAGUGAAGAAUACACAGGAACCAGUGCCUCCUCCUGGAACUAUGCAACUCCAAGCUGCUUCCAUCAGCUGCUAGGUCCAGUAGGGAGGGACCUACUGAGAGCAUUGCCAGAAAACUCAUUUCUCAGUGACACCAUUGUAAUUACUCAUUUGAUUAUCCCGCAAUACACAUAUAAGAGUCUCAGGAAAACAGUACCAUCAGCAUUAUAUGAGCUAAUUAAAAAUGUGGUGUCCUGGACUCACGAAGCCAGAAUUGCUGAGGAGAUAGCCCGAGAAUCUGAAUUUUUAGCAGACAUUUUUUUAGGUACCUUACCCGCAGGAUCAUUUCUGUGAAUAUCCAUGAGGUGAAAAAGUCUGGGAAACACUGUCCUAGGGUGUGGGGAAGAGCGAGAAAAAGAUUUCCGCUCUGGAAGGUAAACAAAUACUCUCUGGAGAGAGAAGAGGAAUGUCCCUAGCAGAUGUCUCCAGAGAAGACAAGACUUUAAAUUCCGCCAGGGAAAUAUACAAUGUCUAACUUCUAAGGCACAUUUGCCAUUCAAUCAUGCUUUAACCCACGUUGCCAGAAAUUUUUGCUCACUAGGUUUUGACUGUACAGGAAUGUGAAAAUAUUCAUGAAGAGUUGUUUUCCAAUGCUAAAGAAUUGAUGUGUUUUAACAGUUGAAUUAAUUGUAUUGAUUAUGAUCACACCUACUUUUUAUAUAUCUUCAUUUCUAACGUUUCUGUACAAUCCUGCCUUUCCACCUGAUAUAGUUAGGCCUUGUGUCAUCAACCAAAUCUCAUCUUGAAUUGUAAUCGCCAUAAUCCCCACGUAUUUAGGGAGAGACCUGGAGGGAGGUGUUUGGAUCAUGGGGGCGGUUUCCCGCAUGCUGUUCUCAUGACCAUGAGAGUAAGUUCUCAAGAGAUCUGAUGGUUUUAUAAGCGUCUGUCAUUUCCACUGCUUGCACUUCUGUGUCCUGCCACCUUGUGAAGAAGGACGUGGUUGCUUCCCCUUCCACCAUGAUUGUGUUUCCUGAGGCCUCCCCAGCCUUGCAGAGCUGUGAGUCAAUUAAACCUCUUUCCUUUAUAAAUUACUCAGUCUCUGUAUUCCUCUGCAGCAGUGUGAGAACAGACUAAUACAUCACCACUUUAUUUACUUUACUCUCUCCCCAUACCGAGGUUUUCUACAUUUUCUUUCUAGGUCUCUACAGUUUCUGCAAAGAUCCUUUAUGGAACUCUUAGGGAAGCUGGGAUGUAUAAUAAAUAAAGGGCUCUUUUCUUUGAGUCCCACACCCAUUUUCUGUGUAUAAAAAUCUUCAACUCCACUUUUGUCUGUUCUAUUUAAAUGUGUGCACAUUUCCUUCUAAUGUUGUAUAUGAAAAAGAGACACCUCUUAGCAGUCUUUCAUAGAGCAAAAUUUUUUACUUUGAUAAAAUCUAAUUUAUCAAUAUUUUUAAAUUUUAUGGAUCAAUCAUGCUUUUGAGGUUGAAUUUAAGAAUGCUUUGCCUAGCCCUAGAUCCCAAGUAUCUUUUAAAAAUUAUUUUUCUAAAUGCAUUAUUUAUGUUUUACACUUAAGUCUAUAAUCCAUUUUGAGUCCAUGUGUAAGAUUUAGGUUAAGGUCAAGAUUUAUCUGUUUUUGUUGUUUUCUCUAUAAAUGUCAAUUGCUCCAGCACUAUUUGUUUAAAAGCCAAUCUUUCCUCCGCUGAGUUCUUCCUAUAAGUUUGUCAAAAGUCAAUUUGGCAUCUUUGUAUAAGUUUAUUUCUGGAUUCUCUAUUCUGUUUUAUUGAUCACUGCAUCUAUCCCUCUUGAUUAGCUAGAUAAUAAAUCCUACAAUAAGGUAGAAUUCUUCCCACUUUAUUCAUAUUCAAAAUAUUUUAAAGCUAUUCUAGUUUCUUUUUAUUUCCAUAUAUAUUUUAGGAUAAUCUUAUCUAUAUUUACAACAUAUGUUGCUAGGAUUUUGAUAGAAUUUGUUUUAAAUUUGUGUAUCAAUGUAGGGAAGACCUGACAUCUUUACUAUUACGUUGAUCUUCCAAUCAAUGAAUAUGGUAUAUCUCUCAGUUUAUAGCUAUUGUCUUUAAUUUAUUUCAUCAUGGUUUUUAGUUUUCAGCAGAGAAGCUUUAUACAUGUUUUGUUAUACAUGUAUAACAAAAGAAGCCUUAUACACUGACAUUUUAUAUUUUGAACAAUUGUAAAUGGUAUUGUUUAAAAAUUUUGUUGUCUAUGAUAGAAAUAAAAUUGAUUUUUGUAGGUUUAUCUUGUAACCUAUGACUUGCUGAGCUCGCUCAUUAGUUUUUUUAUUGUGAUAAAAUAUACAUGAGAUAAAUUUCAUCAUUAUAAUCAUUAAGUUUAGACAUCAAUUGCAUUAAGUACAUAAAUGCCUUAUGCAACCAUCAUCUCUAUCCAUCUCCAGACCCUUUGCAUCACCCUAAAAUGAAACUCUGUGCCCAUUAAACAAUAACUCCCCAUUCUGCCCUCACCCCAGCCCUUGGUAAUUACCAUCCUACCUUUUAUCUCUAUAAAUUUAACCAUCCCAGGUAACUCAUAUAAGUGGAAUCAUGCAGUGUUUGUCCUUUUGUAACUGGUUUAUUUCACUUAGCAUGAUGUCUUCAAGGUUUGCCUAUGUCAUAGCAUGUGUCAGAAUUUCAUCCCUUUUUAAACUUAAAUAAUAUUCCACUGUAGGCAUAUGCCACAUUUUGUUUAUUUGUUCAUCUGUUGAUGGGCAUUUGGGUUGUUUCCACCUUUUGGCUACUGUGAAUAAUGCUGCUGUGAUCAUGGGUAUGCAACUGUCUCCUGGAGUCCCUGCUAUCAAUUCUUGUGGGUAUAUACCCAGAAGUGGAAUUGUUGCAACAUAUAGUAAUUCUAUGUUUAAUUUUUUGAGGACCUGCCAUAAUGUUUUCCACAGUAGCUACAUUGUCUUAUAUUCCCAUUAAGAGUUCCAAUUUCCUCACAUCUUCACCAAUACUUAUUGUUUUCUGUUUUUUUAAAUAAUAGCCAUCAUAAUAAAAGUAACAUGGUAUCUCAUUGUGGUUUUAACUGCAUUUCCCUUUUUACUGGAUUGUUUGUAAUAUUGCUGUAAUUGAGUUGUAGGAGUUUUUAAAUAUGUUCUGAAUAAUUAAUUUCUUAUCAGAUAUGUCAUUUGCAAAUAUUUUCUGCCAUUCUCUGGGUUGUCAUUUCACUCUCUUGAUAGUGUCCUUUGAUGCACAGAAGUUUUGAAAUUUGAUAAAGUUUAAUUUGCGUAUGUAUUUAUUUUGUUGCUUAUGCUUUUGGUGUCAUAUCCAAGAAAUUAUUGCCAAAUUCAGUGUCAUGAAGAUUUUCCCCUGUGUUUUCCUCUAAGAGUAUUAUAGUUUUAACUCUUGCACUUAGAUUGAUCCGCUUUGAGUUAAUUUUAGUAUAUGGGGUAAGACAAGGGCUCAAAUUUGUUCUUUUGUUUGAAGAUUCUAGGUCAUUUGUGAUCUUUAGGAUUUUCUAUGUAGACAUUAAUGUCAUCUUCAAAUAUGAACAGUUUAUUUCUUCCUUUUGUAUAUGUAUGAAUUUACUUUCCUUUUCUUGCCUUAUUGCACUGGCUAGAGUUUUCAGUACUAUGAUGAAUAAAAUCAGUGAGAGCAGACACCCUUGCUUUGUUUCUAAUCUUAGGAGGAAAGCUUUCAGUCUUUCAUCAUUAGGUAUACUGUUAGUUGUAGGCUUAUUAUAGAUGCUCUUUAUCAGGUUGAGGCAGUUUCCUCCUUGGUUAAGACUUUCUAUUUUUCAUUUUCAGUUAUGACCAGGCAUGUUCAUAACUGCUCAUCAAAACUUUGAAUUAGUGGCUGCUUUAACAUCCUUCUCAGACAAUUCUAACAUCUGUUUUGUUGGUGGUGGCAUCUAUCAAUUGUCUUUUUCAUUCUGUUUGAGAUCUUCCUUGCGUUUGGUAUGAUUUUUUUAAAUAUUAUGUCAUGAAACUGCAUCUUAUUUAAAUCUUCUGUUUUAGUUGGCUAUGUCUGACAUCACUUCCCCAGGGGAAGGUGUUGUUACUGCUAGUGGAGGGUGAGAAUUAUGGCUCUCCACUGACAUUGUGGUGGGAUUGGUCCCAUUACCACUGGGCAGGGUUGAAAGUCCUGACUUUCUGCUAGGCCUUCUCUGACUUCAUCGCAGCAGGAGGAAAAGAUGCCUCUGGAGUUGAAGUCAGGUUGCACUGACACUGUGUGUGUAUGGAGGUAGGCUGGGGUGAAAGUGGAGACUCAUUACCACAUGGUGAGUAGUUUCCAGCUCUCUAUUUGGCCUUCUCUGAUACCACCCAGACAGGGACAUUGGGGAUACCUCAUUACAGCCUAGUGAGGGUCAAACUCUAGGCUCCCCACUCAGUCUUUGCUAUCAUGGACACUGUAGGACCAUAGUUUUUUCUGUGCUGUUUGCUUGAUGUGUCUUCCUUGGACCCUGAGUUCCAUAGCUGGUCUGCAUUCCUCUCUCCACCUUUAAGACGUCUUCUUAUGUUUAUUUCAUAUUUAACAUCCAGGGUGGUAAUUAGAGGGAAGAAUAGAGGGAAAAGUACAGUUGCACUUUGUUGUUCAAAGAGCAGUUUUGAACUGCACAGACCCAUUUCUCUGAGCACACCCAGGGAUGAUUGUACUUGUAUAAAAUUUUUUUCCUGGAUGCAGAAUUCUCAAUUGACUGUGAAAGUUCAUAACAAAGAAAACAGUGGGGAAGACAAAUCUGGAAAUGAGGAAAAUAAAAAUUAAAUAGUGAGACCACCCAUGGAGCUUGUGGCAAAGCCUGAAUUGAAUCCGCUGUAUCUUAAGAUUGUGCCUCAUUCUAAAUUUAAGUCACCCUUCUCAUUAUGAAAGUGUCACAACUUCUCAGUAGGUGAGGAGACAGUCUAAAUUUGAGAAAAGAAAGUUACAACAAAGGUUUUGAGCAAGCUGCUAAGUGGAUUUAUUCAUGUUUGAGAAAUCAAAUAUAUGGUUAAUGAGCUCUUUAACUAGAAGCCAACACUAGGGAGGAGUAGACAGAAGUCACGGGGAGGGAGCCCCCGGACAUUUCAAAAGACUUUGCCCUGCAACAUCUCCUCCACAUUUAAGCUUUUAGGUUAUUGUAGCCACAUCACAAGCAUGUUACCUACCCAGAUAUUGUCUGCGCAUCAUUCCCAAAAGCUUCCCUGGGUCUUCAUAAUAUUAAUGAGAUUCUCCCCCAGGUUAGACCCCUUUGGCUUGAGUCAGAAACAGAAUUAAUCCGGGGGACAAUCCAGCAGCACCCAUCUCUGGGUUGCAGAAAUAUCUGAGGUGACCAGGCAGUGUUUGGAGUCCCCUCAGUUAGCUAACAAAGUGAGUUCACAGCUUCCAAGACCCCAGGCUUUCCAGGCUAAUAAAGAGCUGAGGUUAUAGGCUCUCCUUAUCAAACGCUCUUUGGCAGCUGCCAUAACCAUUCCAAGUCUAGUCCUAGAAUAGAAAUGACGCGGUUUCAGGAGCUGACAGAUGGAACUUUAAGCCUUCCUUCCUGCCACAUCUGAAGUUCUUUUUUAAAAAAAUAGAAAACCAUGACAAUAAACACUCCUUGAAUGCCCUGUGGAAAAGUGUACUCCUCAGAAUUCACUAAAGUGGGGUGAAGCAGUGGGUUGUGGUGCUGAGAAAACAUCUCUUCCCCUCGGCAGUAUAUUGGAAUCUCAUAGAAACUUCUGUGGCUGGGAAGCAAACAUGCUCUCUGCCCCAUUGCUCUUAUUCAUCUUUAGACCUGAUAAUACAGUUUGAACUUCAAGUUGCACUUUAAAUGGCAUGCAUUUUUA
rnacentral:lncRNA from 1 species